rnacentral:rRNA from 1 species
ACGUAGGGAGCGAGCGUUGUCCGGAAUUACUGGGCGUAAAGGGCGAGUAGGCGGAACACCAAGUAUGCUGUGAAAGCCCCCGGCUUAACCGGGGAGGGUCAGCGUAAACUGGUGAACUAGAGUGCAGUAGAGGCUAACAGAAUUCCCGGUGUAGUGGUGAAAUGCGUAGAUAUCGGGAGGAAUACCAGUGGCGAAGGCGGUUAGCUGGACUGUAACUGACGCUGAGGCGCGAAGGCUAGGGUAGCAAACAGGAUUAGAUACCCUGGUAGUCCUAGCAGUAAACGAUGGAUACUAGGUGUGCGGGGAGAAUGACCCCCUGCGUGCCGGAGCAAACGCAAUAAGUAUCCCGCCUGGGGAGUACGGUCGCAAGAUUA